rnacentral:rRNA from 1 species
UUGGAGGGCAAGUCUGGUGCCAGCAGCCGCGGUAAUUCCAGCUCCAAUAGCGUAUAUUAAAGUUGUUGCAGUUAAAAAGCUCGUAGUUGAAUUUCGGUAUUGACGUGAUGGUCAUGCCUUAAGGGGUAUGAACUGUCACUGUUGAUCUCUCACCUUCUGGAGAAACUUGAUGUCCUCCAUUGGGUGUCUUGCGGAUCCAGGACCUUUACCUUGAAAAAAUUAGAGUGUUUAAAGCAGGCAUUUUUGCUCGAAUACAUUAGCAUGGAAUAAUAGAAUAGGACGGCAUGGUUCUAUUUUGUUGGUUUCUAGGAUCACCGUAAUGAUUAAUAGGGAUAGUUGGGGGCAUUAGUAUUCAAUUGUCAGAGGUGAAAUUCUUGGAUUUAUUGAAGACUAACUACUGCGAAAGCAUUUGCCAAGGAUGUUUUCAUUAAUCAAGAACGAAAGUUAGGGGAUCGAAGACGAUCAGAUACCGUCGUAGUCUUAACCAUAAACUAUGCCGACUAGGGAUCGGACGAAGUUAAUUUUAUAAUGACGCGUUCGGCACCUUACGGGAAACCAAAGUGUUUGGGUUC